rnacentral:rRNA from 1 species
UACGUAGGGUGCAAGCGUUGUCCGGAUUUAUUGGGCGUAAAGAGCGUGUAGGCGGCUAGAUAGGUCCGUUGUGAAAACUCGAGGCUCAACCUCGAGACGUCGAUGGAAACCAUCUGGCUAGAGUCCGGAAGAGGAGAGUGGAAUUCCUGGUGUAGCGGUGAAAUGCGCAGAUAUCAGGAAGAACACCCGUGGCGAAGGCGGCUCUCUGGUACGUGACUGACGCUGAGACGCGAAAGCGUGGGGAGCGAACAGG